UACGUAGGUCCCAAGCGUUGUCCGGAUUUAUUGGGCGUAAAGCGAGCGUAGGUGGUUUCUUAAGUCUGAUGUAAAGGGCAGUGGCUCAGCGAUUGUGUGCAUUGGAAACUGGGAGACUUGAGUGCAGGAGAGGAGAGUGGAAUUCCAUGUGUAGCGGUGAAAUGCGUAGAUAUAUGGAGGAACACCGGAGGCGAAAGCGGCUCUCUGGCCUGUAACUGACACUGAGGCUCGAAAGCGUGGGGAGCAAACAGG
rnacentral:rRNA from 1 species